GACGAACGCUGGCGGCGUGCUUAACACAUGCAAGUCGAACGGUGAAGCGCUUUCCUUUUUGGUUGGUGUGGAUGAGUGGCGAACGGGUGAGUAACACGUGAGUAACCUGCCCCCUUCUUCUGGAUAACCGCAUGAAAGUGUGGCUAAUACGGGAUAUUCUGCGCCUGCUGCAUGGUGGGUGUGGGAAAGAUUGUGCCUUUGGGUGUUUUCGGUGGGGGAUGGGCUCGCGGCCUAUCAGCUUGUUGGUGGGGUGAUGGCCUACCAAGGCGGUGACGGGUAGCCGGACGGAGAGGGUGGACGGUCACACUGGGACUGAGACACGGCCCAGACUGCUACGGGAGGCAGCAGUGGGGAAGAUUGCACAAUGGGCGCAAGCCUGAUGCAGCGACGCCGCGUGAGGGAGGGAGGCCUUCGGGUUGUGAACCUCUUUCGCCAGUGAAGCAGGCCUGCUCCUUGUGGGUGGGUUGACGGUAGCUGGAGAAGAAGCGCCGGCUAACUACGUG
rnacentral:rRNA from 1 species